rnacentral:rRNA from 1 species
GAUGAACGCUAGCGGCAGGCCUAACACAUGCAAGUCGAACGAGAUUACGAGGCUUGCUUCUUAUGAAAGUGGCGCACGGGUGCGUAACGCGUAUGCAACCUACCUUAAUCAGGGGGAUAGCCCGAAGAAAUUCGGAUUAUGACCGCAUAAAAACACAGGAUAGCAUUAUCCAAUGUUCAAAUAUUUAUAGGAUUAAGAUGGGCAUGCGUGUCAUUAGCUAGUUGGCGGGGUAACGGCCCACCAAGGCGACGAUGACUAGGGGAUCUGAGAGGAUGACCCCCCACACGGGUACUGGGACACGGACCAGACUCCUACGGGAGGCAGCAGUAAGGAAUAUUGGUCAAGGGAGGGAACUCUGAACCAGCCAAGCCGCGUGCAGGAAGACAGCCCUCUGGGUCGUAAACUGCUUUUAUUCGGGAAUAAACCUUUCUACGUGUAGGAAGCUGAAGGUACCGAAGGAAUAAGGAUCGGCUAACUCCGUG